CAGACAUGCAUCUCUAUCAAGAAAACCAGCCGUUCCUUGUGAUGGGGCACUCCUUGGCUUAGUGGAGAAACCUCGCUAGGGUUUCCUUGAUUUCUGGGGUUUCAUCGUCUUCGAUCCUCUCAGGAGCUAGAGAAGCAAGGAAUCAAUUCAUAGCGUUCGAUUCUCCAAGGCAUUGGGUGCAAAGAAGGCCCUGUUGCCCUUCUUUGAGGGACUCCGUCACUCUCCUUUGGCUUUCCAAGCUUCUCUUAGGGUGCGGACCUAUGACAUUGGGCAACAACAAAGGCGCUUUCGUGGCCUUAUUGUCUAAGGCUGCCACAAUUGUGGCUCCAAAGAUAUUAAAGAAAACUAUCUUUGUAAUGCCAUAUAUAUGGUAUAUAUCAAGUAUGUUUUGUUUUCAUGGAUUGUUGAUUCUAAAGAUGAAAUGUAACCGUAUUGUGGUUCCAGUUGUGAUGUAUGAGAAUUUACAAUUUGGGCGAAAGCAAGGAUUCAUCGUGUGGACAUAUAGUGAAGUUACUGAGUUCUAUUGGGCUGAAUCUUAUGAUGCCAUAUUUCUCAUAUGGCGAUCAAGCCCUUAGCUGAUAGAGUUCUUGUUAAGAUCAACUCUUUU